rnacentral:tRNA from 1 species
CAUUAGAUAACUUAUAGCAAGUACUGAUCUCUUAAAUCAUAAUAUAAUAUAUUAGCACAUAUUUCUAAUGA